CCCUACACUGUGUUCGCUGUGCUGUCACCUAUGAAAGGUAUUUGGCUGUGUACCAGACGCUUCCGGGUAGUGUUUUGUUGAUCUACCGAAGGUCUUGACUGAAAAGACGCCGUGUAC